UGGGUGAAGAUGUGAGUAUUACUUGUGCCGAUGGGUAUGUAUGUUCGUCUGUUGCAAGGGAUGAUUGUAAGAGGAAUUCACGUAGCUUCCAGGCACUUCUAGAUGCGUGUGAUGGUUUGGAUGUUGAUGUUGAAGGCACAGAAGUUGUCUGUCGUGACAAGUCCAGCGAACCAAGUUCUGGACCGAAGAUUACGUCAAUGGUCAGACGUGUGAAAGAAGAGCCAAGGCGCGAGUACAGGCUGUGUGAUUACGAGUACCCCAACGUAUUUGGGAGGGUCAAACUGAGUGACAAAGUGAGGAUUUGUAAAUCAACGAAGCCAGGGGAGAUAUACACUGUCGAGGAUAUUGAUGUGGGACGUAAAACAUGGAAUGGUUUUGGAAUGACUCAGAGACACAUUGUGUGGGGCAUGUUGAAAGAUGAAGACCGGAAGGUACUGGAGCAAAUGUACAGCUUAGAAUGAGAUGGGUUAAUAGUAUGGGAUGGUGGUGAGAAUGGGAUACAAGUUCACUUCACUGACAUCAAAGAUUUGGUACAGGAGAACUCGAUUCAUGGCAAUGUAAUAGAUGCAUACGCAGCUAUGUUGACAGACAUGCACAGGACGGUGUCAGGUAGAAGAGAAUAUAAAGGAACGACAUAUGUGUACAGCAGCGUGUGCGCGGACAUGAUGCGUAACACAAGCGCUUUGUCACGAACAAAGUACUUAA